rnacentral:lncRNA from 1 species
AGUUUUCUGGUUUGAUGCUGGCUCCUCCCUGCUGAGUGUCUUCUGGAGGUGGAGGUGAGGGGUGGAAGAGGAUGGCCACGGAGAUCAGUGCUCAGGGCAGACCGCGCGCCAUUGGGCAAGAGGAAUACAACCUGUACAGCAGCCUGAGCGAGGACGAGCUUGUCCAGAUGGCCAUUGAGCAGAGCCUGGCUGACAAGACUCGGGGCCCAGCCACCACUGAGACCACUGUGCCCACACGCGUCAACCGUGAACCCGCCCACUUCUAUCCAUGGACCAGGUCCGCUGUGUCUCCUGAGAGCGCCCCGACCUCAGCCCCCAGGGGCCUGUUCCAGGAGGUUAUGCAGAAAUACAACCGCAGCAAGUCCUCCCAGCUGGCGCCCGUGGACCCCGUGCUAAAGGCCGUCAAGGAAGGCGAUGAAGAGGCCUUGACGGCUAUGAUCAAGGCGGGCAAGAACCUCUCAGAACCCAACAAGGAGGGCUGGCUGCCGCUGCACGAGGCAGCCUACUACGGCCAGCUGAACUGCCUGAAGGCCCUGCACCGAGCGUACCCGGCAGUCAUCGACCAGCGCACCCUGCAGGAGGAAACGGCCCUUUACCUGGCGACCUGCAGGGGACACGUGGACUGCCUCCAAUUCCUGCUCCAGGCUGGCGCCGAGCCCGACAUCUCCAACAAGUCCCGAGAGACACCGCUCUACAAAGCCUGUGAGCGCAAGAAUGUGGAGGCAGUGAGGAUUCUGGUGCAGUACAAGGCGGACACCAACCACCGCUGUAACCGAGGCUGGACGGCUCUGCACGAGUCUGUGGCUCGCAAUGACCUGGAGGUCAUGGAGAUCCUGGUGAGCGGAGGCGCCAAGGUGGAAGCCAAGAAUGCCUAUGGCAUCACCCCCUUGUUCGUGGCUGCCCAGAGUGGGCAGCUGGAGGCACUGAGAUUCCUGGCCAAACACGGCGCUGACAUCAACACACAGGCCAGCGACAGCGCGUCCGCCCUCUACGAGGCCUGCAAGAACGGGCACGAGGAGGUGGUGGAGUUCCUGCUGUCACAGGGUGCGGACGCCAACAAGACCAACAAGGACGGCAUGCUCCCGCUGCACAUCGCCUCCAAGAAGGGUAACUACAGAACCUCCAAGACCCCUGGCUCAUCUUUGCCGGCUGCGAGUUCGAAAGGCCAUCGGGAAAUACCGCAUCAAACUCCUGGACACGUUGCCGCUUCCAGGCAGGCUGAUCAGAUACCUGAAAUACGAGAACACCCAGUAACCAGAGCACGCAGGGGCGGAGCAGCUCCUCAGACGGUUUCGCUGAGUCUCAGGACAGCCGUGUCUCCAAAUCCAGGGGGCCCGGGGACAGAUGUGGCUGGGAGCUGCCGGGCUCUCAGAGGUCUCUGGGCCAGAGCUUUGCCCAGAGCAGAGGACAGAUGUAUCGAGCAGGAGAAGAACUGGGUUGGCUUUCACUUGGAUGAGGAAAUCCCAGACCGGCUCUGCCAUUGGGAAUGGCAGAAAGCUCCAUUCCUGGGGCCGAGAGGCGGGACCAGGGCAGAACUUGGGGUGGUCAGGGGAAGGCAAGGGGGCUGGCAGCGAAGCCCUGACCCCACCUCCAGGCUGUGGUUGGAGAGCUUUCUUUCUGGGGUGAUUCUGUCUUUGCUGGGCCACCUCGCUGCAGAGCUGCCCCGAGAUGGGAGGCCUGCUGAGGGUCCUGGGCUCUGGGUCCAGGAUCAAAGGCUCAGCAGGAUUUGGGGAGGGUCUUUCUCUCCCUGGUCAAGGAGGAGUGGGAUCACCACCCACUACCAUGAGAAACUGGAGGCUCGUAUACCUAUCAGGCACCCUUCCCAGACCUCUUCCUAG